rnacentral:tRNA from 1 species
GGUGUGGUGGCUGAGCGGUCUAAGGCGCAGGUCUGCAAAACUUGUAUUUCGUGGGUUCGAAUCCCACCCACACCU